rnacentral:rRNA from 1 species
GAGUUUGAUCAUGGCUCAGGACGAACGCUGGCGGCGUGCCUAAUACAUGCAAGUCGAGCGAACCGAAGGGAGCUUGCUCCUUUAGGUUAGCGGCGGACGGGUGAGUAACACGUGGGCAACCUGCCCUGCAGACUGGGAUAACUUCGGGAAACCGGAGCUAAUACCGGAUAACACCGAAAACCGCAUGGUUUUCGGUUGAAAGGCGGCUUUUAGCUGUCACUGCAGGAUGGGCCCGCGGCGCAUUAGCUAGUUGGUGAGGUAACGGCUCACCAAGGCGACGAUGCGUAGCCGACCUGAGAGGGUGACCGGCCACACUGGGACUGAGACACGGCCCAGACUCCUACGGGAGGCAGCAGUAGGGAAUCUUCCGCAAUGGACGAAAGUCUGACGGAGCAACGCCGCGUGAGCGAAGAAGGUCUUCGGAUCGUAAAGCUCUGUUGUCAGGGAAGAACAAGUACCGUUCGAACAGGGCGGUACCUUGACGGUACCUGACGAGGAAGCCACGGCUAACUACGUGCCAGCAGCCGCGGUAAUACGUAGGUGGCAAGCGUUGUCCGGAAUUAUUGGGCGUAAAGCGCGCGCAGGCGGUUCCUUAAGUCUGAUGUGAAAUCUCGCGGCUCAACCGCGAGCGGCCAUUGGAAACUGGGGAACUUGAGUGCAGGAGAGGGGAGCGGAAUUCCACGUGUAGCGGUGAAAUGCGUAGAGAUGUGGAGGAACACCAGUGGCGAAGGCGGCUCUCUGGCCUGUAACUGACGCUGAGGCGCGAAAGCGUGGGGAGCGAACAGGAUUAGAUACCCUGGUAGUCCACGCCGUAAACGAUGAGUGCUAAGUGUUAGAGGGUAUCCACCCUUUAGUGCUGCAGCAAACGCAUUAAGCACUCCGCCUGGGGAGUACGGCCGCAAGGCUGAAACUUAAAGGAAUUGACGG